GGCAUCGUGGCUUAGUGGUUAGCACGCUUGCCUUAUGCCUCCAGGGUUAGGGGUUCGAAUCCCACCUCUGCCU